UCACCUCCAAUCUUACCACCCUAUUUUUGGCCACCAUCAACUCCGACCACCACCACAUCCGGCAACCACGAGAUUUCGACCGCUACCAAAUACCACCAAAUUUUGAUCACCUCCGGAUGGUGACUCGUCGUCAAAUGUGGGCCACCGCAUUGAGGAUAAUGUCGCCGAGGAAAAAGGCGUCGCAAUUAUGUCUAAGUCAUCUGACGAAAUUCGACGGCAUCACAAUAUAAUAAAUUGGGAGCGACGAUAUUAAUUAUAAUCUCAAAUUCGUGAUUCCAAAAGUAUUUCCGAUGGUGGUUGACUGUGGGGCUGGUGGAGGGUGGUCGGCGGAUGAGGAGCUGGUGGAGGGUGGUCGGCUGUCGGAGCCCCAAAUAAUGGGUCAGGAAUUGAGGAUGUAUGAGGGUAGGAAAGGUGGGGGUGCAAUGGAAGUCAAGACUGAAUAAGGGUCAAUAUGUAAAAUAAUAGGCGGUUUUGAGUAUUAUGAGACAGUUUUUAACGAUGAACAUUAGUUAAAGAUAAAUUAGGCUAAGUGUAUCUUAUGCUUUAUCCUAUGUUCCAUUUAGAUAAUGUUGGACAUCACCAUGAUCAGCUACAAUAAGUACAUCCACAACAUUCUCAAGCUGGUCUAGCACACACUAGAUUGGAGCUCCUCUAACUGAUUUGCUGAGCUGUAUACUUACACUGUCAGCAUGGUUGUUAGUACAACUGAUUUAUUAUUGGUUGAUGGUAUUAUUCUUGCUCUCUGAUUGGUCAUGACAGCAGAGCUUUUACUACCUAUAUAUGUUGCUUAUCUUUAUUCUAGAUAGCUUACUUCAUUAAUUCUGUAAUAGAUUGAACCCUAAGCAAAUUCUCUCCCGUUUCAUUUCCUCUCUUAGUGGCUCCGUUUUAAUGGCUGCUAAGAACCAUACCUGUGAGUUCUACAAUUCUGUUGUGUACUACUUAUUUCAACAUGGAAUCAGAGCUGAAAGUUUGAGAUCCUGAUUCAGCUGUUCUUUCUUAUUCUACUGGUAUGAGUUAAUCCCAAUUUUGUGUUCUUCGAUUUUGAGGUCUGUUUUUCCUCUUUCUGCAAAUCUGAAGUUCUUUGUAGCUGCAUUUCUGAAUUGUUCUACUCCUGUUUAUUUGAUAAUAUAUUUGUUCAUCUUCACUGAAUCAGUAACUGUAGAUUUUUUCAUUGAACACUGCUUCUUCUAUUUUCUUCCUUCUCAAAAAAAUCAAACACAAGUUUCUACUUCAAUAUGAAAUUUCUUGAUUACAAUGGACCAUCAACCAACACCACCACCACCUAUAACACCUCAAGAUAUUACUAGUCCUUUUUAUCUUCACCCUACAGAUAACACUGCUAGUCAGUUGGUAUCUAUCAAUUUUAAAGGUGAGGGGCCGGGUAUGGAGAAUGGAAAAGGAUUAUGAUGAUUUUCAUAUCCUCUAAGAACAAAUUAGGUUUUAUUAGUGGCGCUUUAACAAAAUCAGAUGCAACACAUGCUAAAUAUCAGGCCAGGAUGAGAUGCAAUGAUAUGAUGAUAUCAUGGUUGCUAUUCAAUUUAGAAUCAACUACAGCAAAAAGUGUUCUGUAUUUUCAAACAGCCAGAUAAAUUUGGGUAGAUUUGGAGGAGAGAUAUGAUUUUGUUUCUAUCCCUCAGUUGUUUUCUCUAGAACAACAUGCAUCUGAGAUUGCACAAGGUGGAUAUAAUAUAUCAGAAUUUUUCACAGAAAUCAAGUCUCUAUGGGACAAGAUCAGUGCAGCUAAUCCCUUGCCUACUUGCACUUGCAACUUGACUCAGACGAUCUUUAAGAUGCAGCGAGAUCAAAGGCUUAUGCAAUUUAUGAUGAAAUUAGGAGAGCAUCUAGGAACCGUUAGAGGAAAUUUAUUGAUGUAACAACCACUCCCUACAAUUUCACAUGCAUAUAGGAUGCUAUCACAAGAAGAAAGACAGAGGGAGAUUAGUUCUCCAACACCAAUACAUGAAUCUCAUGCAUUUGCUGCUGACAGAAGGAGGUUUAAUGAUUAUCAUAAUAGAGGAUAUUAACAAGGGUCAACAAUCAUCUACUCCAGGAAGGAACACUUACAAUAAUUUUGGUGGAAACAAGCCUAGAAAUUCAGGAAACUACAGGGGGCCUAUAAGUUAUUUUUGUGAUCACUGUAAGGUGAAUGGUCACAACAAAGAAAGAUGUUUUAAACUACAUGGUUUUCCACCUGGUUUCACAGGUUUCAAAACAGAUAAGAGAGCAUUUGCAAUACAUAUUCAAAUGAAGGAUAUGGAGAUGAUAUGACUGAGUACCAACACAGUUCUAACCACCUGAAAAGGAACCACCACAGAGCCAACUUGGUUUACUAACAGCUGAAUAAUGCACACAGUUGUUAAGUCUUGCGAACAAACAACAAGCUGAUAAGGCAGCACCUGAUACAAAGUUUGAGGAAGGUGACACAUCUGGCCAUGCUUUAAUGGAAUGUACUUAAUGUUUUCUCACUUGUUCUUUCUAGCUGGUUAUUAGACAUUGGUUCCUCAGAUCAUAUGUGCUCAAGUCUUAAUAUGUUUGAUCAAUAUGAAUCUGUCAAUGGGAAUAAUGAAUAUAUUACUAUACCUGAUGGAAGAAGGGUGUUAGUACAUCACAAAGGAACUGUGACUAUAAAUGAGAACAUACAACUGAAUGGAGUCCUACAUGUUCCAGAUUUGCUAUACAACUUAUUGUCUGUUAAUAAGUUGUGUUCAGAUAUGUAGUGCACUGUUUCCUUCACUGCUGACAAAUGUUUCAUUCGGGGUCGUUUAAUGAAAGGGCCACAGGUUCUUGGUAGUAUGAACUCAGGAUUAUACAGUGUGGAUACAAGUGAAGAUAAAGUAGUUCAAUCCGCUACAAGUUGUCUUACAGCUUCUACUACAAGCAACAAUGAAGAUGCUAAGGGAAUCACUUGCCUACCAUAACAACCUUAAAGAAGCAUCUAUAUAUUGUGUUCAUCAUCAAAAACCUUGGAGUCUUGAGUUAUUUUCUGGGAAUUGAGGUUGGGUAUCUGCCUGAUUGGGUGAUUUUAACUCAGAAGAAGUUCACUAAGUCCAUGUUAGCUGAUUGUGGUUUUGAUAUCAAGAAAUAUGACCUAACUCCACUUCUUAUCAACAUAAAGCUUGGUUGUUGAAGGACAAUUGUAUGACAAACCAGAGUUGUACAAAUGUUUGGUGGGAAAGUUGACCUUUCUCACUCACACCAGACCAGAUAUUUGCUUUGUUAUAUAACUCCUAAGUCAGUUCAUGCACAUGCCUAGAUUACCCCAUAUUACAGCACGUGUCCAUGUUCUAAGAUAUGUUUCUCACACUGAAGGAUAAGGUAUAUUGCUCAAGGCUUCUGCUAGCUUCUCUCACUCUGCAAGAUUUUUUAGAUAGACAUUGGGAAUAUUGUUCCAACAACAGGAAGUCAAUCACAGGUUACAUUCUCCUUUUGGGUGAUUCACCUGUUUCAUGGAAGUCCAAGAAGCAAGGCACAAUUUCAAAAAGUUCUUCUUAAGCUGAGUAGAGGGCUAUGACAACUGCUGCUUCAGAAGUUACUUGGCUGGUUAGUUUAUUGGAGGAGUUUGGUGUCACUAAUCUAAAACCAGUCACCAUGCAUUGUUACAAUCAAUCUGCCAUCUACAUUGGUAAGAAACCGGUCUUUCAUGAAAGGACUAAACACAUAGAGAUCGAUUGUCACUUCACUAGAGAAAAUGUUAUGGAAGGUCUUCUGCAACUCACUUAUUUGCCUACUCAGUCUCAAUUGUCGAUGUCUUCACUAAGGCCUUACCAUCUCCUCAGUUCAAUGAUCUUCUUUCCAAGCUAGGUCUUUCUACUGCAACUUCUAGCUUGAGGAGGGGGUGUUGGACAUCACCAUGAUCAGCUACAACAAGUGCAACAACAACAUUCUCAAGCUGGUCUAGCACACACUAGAUUGGAGCUCCUCUAACUGAUUUGACGAGUUGUAUUCUUACACUGUCAGCAUGGUUGUUACUUGUUAGUACAAUUGAUUUAUUAUUGGUUGAUGGGAUUAUUCCUGCUCUCUGAUUGGUCAUGACAACAGAACUUUUACUACUUAUAUAUGUUGCUUAUCUUUAUUCUAACUAGCUUACUUCAUUAAUUUUGUAAUAGCUUGAACCCUAAGCAAAUUAUCUCUAAUU